UACGAAGGGGGCUAGCGUUGUUCGGAUUUACUGGGCGUAAAGCGCACGUAGGCGGAUUGUUAAGUCAGGGGUGAAAUCCUGGAGCUCAACUCCAGAACUGCCUUUGAUACUGGCAAUCUUGAGUCCGGAAGAGGUGAGUGGAACUCCUAGUGUAGAGGUGAAAUUCGUAGAUAUUCGGAAGAACACCAGUGGCGAAGGCGACUCGCUGGACAGGUAUUGACGCUGAGGUGCGAAAGCGUGGGGAGCAAACAGG
rnacentral:rRNA from 1 species